GAUGAACGCUGGCGGCGUGCCUAAUACAUGCAAGUCGAGCGAACAGACGCGGUGCUUGUUGCUCUGACGUUAGCGGCGGACGGGUGAGUCACACGUCGAUAAGCUACAUAUCAGACUGGGAUAACUUCGAAGACCCCGAGCUCAUACCAGCUAAUAUAUUGAAAAGCCAGGUUCAAUAGUGCAAGCGUGUUUUGAUGUAACUUAUAAAUGAAUGCGCUACGCAUUAGCUAGUUGGUAAGGUACCGGCUUACGUAGGCAACGAUGCUUAGCCGACCUGAGAGGGUGAACGGCCACACGAGAACUGAGACACGGUCCAGACUCCGACGGGAGGCAGCAGUAGAGAAUCUUCCGCAAUGGGCGAAAGCGUGACGUAGCAACGCCGCGCGAGUGAGGAAGGGCUUCGGAGCGUAAGACUCGGUGAUCAUGGAAGAGUAAAGGUGUAAUUAACUAUGCGCGUCUUGACGGUACCUAAUCAGAAAGCCACGGCUAACUACGUG
rnacentral:rRNA from 1 species